AUUGAACGCUGGCGGCAUGCUUUACACAUGCAAGUCGAACGGGGUGAGGGGGCAACUCCUCAUUCAGUGGCGAACGGGUGAGUAAUGCAUCGGAACGUGUCCCGUAGUGGGGGAUAACGCCGCGAAAGCGGCGCUAAUACCGCAUACGCUCUACGGAGGAAAGCAGGGGACCCGCGAGGGCCUUGUGCUAGGGGGGCGGCCGAUGUCCGAUUAGCUUGUUGAUGGGGUAAUGGCCCACCAAGGCGACGAUCGGUAGCUGGUCUGAGAGGAUGAUCAGCCACACUGGGACUGAGACACGGUCCAGACUCCUACGGGAGGCAGCAGUGGGGAAUUUUGGACAAUGGGGGCAACCCUGAUCCAGCCAUGCCGCGUGCGGGAAGAAGGCCUUCGGGUUGUAAACCGCUUUUAGCCGGGACGAAAGCUCUACGGAUAACACCCGUGGGGGUUGACGGUACCGGCGGAAUAAGCACCGGCUAACUACGUGCCAGCCGCCGCCGUAACAC
rnacentral:rRNA from 1 species